CGCACGGGUGAGUAACGCGUAUCCAACCUGGCCCUUAGUAGGGAUAGCCCGGCGAAAGUCGGAUUAAUACCCUAUGUUCUUCGUAGAAGACAUCUGAAAUGAAGCAAAGAUUUGUCGCUAAGGGAUGGGGAUGCGUCUGAUUAGGUAGUCGGCGGGGUAACGGCCCACCGAGCCAUCGAUCAGUAGGGGUUCUGAGAGGAAGGUCCCCCACAUUGGUACUGAGACACGGACCAAACUCCUACGGGAGGCAGCAGUGAGGAAUAUUGGUCAAUGGGCGCGAGCCUGAACCAGACCCAAGUAGCGUGAGGGAAGACUGCCCUAUGGGUUGUAAACCUCUUUUGCCGGGGAAUAAAGUGACGUACGUGUACGUUUUUGUAUGUACCCGGAGAAUAAGGACCGGCUAAUUCCGUGCCAGCAGCAGC
rnacentral:rRNA from 1 species